UCUCCUCCUGGGGGGCUAUAGGUCACGUCCUCCUCCUGGGGGGGCUAUAGGUCACGUUCAUCCUCCUAGGGGGGCUAUAGGUCACGUUUCUCCUCCUGGGGGGCUAUAGGUCACGUUUCUCCUCCCUAGGGGCUAUAGGGCAGGAUGACCCUCCCUCCCUAAGGGGGGCUAUAGGCCAGGAUUAGCCACGUUUAGGAGGCAAAGGCCCCCUUGAUCCCGGAUCUCAAACAGAAAAAUGUGUCCUAUUUCCCGCCCUUUG
rnacentral:lncRNA from 1 species